AACAUGAAUUAAAAUUUUUAAUAAAAUGCUUCGCUGGGGCGCAGCUUGAUACGACCGCAGAGGUCGAACCCUGAACAGUUGGGGCAAGUAUGGACACAACAUUCAAGCUUGAUACAGCUCUGAAUUUGGAUUGUUAUUAAAUAUUUGACACAGCAUAGGUUUCUGACACAGAAAGAAUGUGGUCUAAGAACUUCAAUUUUUUUAAUUUACCUAUUAUGGUCCAAUGUCCAAAAUCAAAAUACAUGGUUAGAUUCAGCAUAUCAAAGAACCCCAUAUAUUCAAUUUUUGUUAAAAUCAAACAAAGUUUAAUUUUGGACCCCAACUUGGACAAACUUGAAAACUGGG